rnacentral:lncRNA from 10 species
AAGGGGUCCUACCAACAGGCUCCCACCUCCCAGAUUGAAUACCAGGCUACCACACACAGCUGAAGAGUCCAGGCUCCUCCCUGCUAUACUAGGUGAGAAUUCCCCGUGGCUCCACCAACUAUCCCAGCGCGCAGGCGGGCCGCCAGUCCUUUGUGGGCGCUCAGAAACAAGGUCCUAGGCAGGUUCCCUUAUCCGCACAAAAGCAUCUGAUGUAAACACUUGGGCGGAUCGGAGAUUCUCCGGGGACCUUCGCUUAUCUGCCUCCUGCAUCUAUCAAUAGGAUGACCCUAGGAAAGAGAAAUUUGUAUUUCCUCCAUAAACACAAUGAAAAGUUUUGUAAAAUGGAUGAAUGGUAUUUUUUGCUUUUGGUUGUGUCAUUUACGAGUUUGAAGAACUAACUAAAAUAUCUGCUUUUUUCUUUAGAGCUCGAGCAAAGAGAGAUAGGAACUUCAUCCCUCAGUGGACUCAAUUUCGGCAUGACAUCAGAAUCAGAGUAACAUUUCAUUAAAAAGAAGAAAAGAGAUUACUGAAAGAAGGUUCGUUUCACCAAGUAGGAGAGCAUGACAUCACUGAUCAGUGGAAACAUCUGACUUCCGGCUGACUGUCACAACCUCUCUGGGGAAUUCUGACAUGUUUCCAGGGACAUUCAAAGCCCUCCUUUGUGUGCAAUCAGCCAACCUGUAAACUUCCAUGUGGAGGAACUGCACCAUUAAACCAUAUAAUAUGAGAAGCAAACAUGAUUAAACUAGAAUAAGGCUAAGAUAUGUAGUCCACAACCUGCCUCACAUCCUGAAGGUGGCACACCAGGUCAUGUAAAAAUUGGGAAAUCUGUGAAAAAAUUUUCAGCAUAGUGUUCUUUCUCAUUAUAUUUUACAAUACUAGUAAUACUCAUUAUCUUCACUAUAUUAACUAAUAUCAGUUGAAUGUUCACUAUGGGCCAAGCACUAUACUAAGCACUUUCUACGAAUUAUCUUAAGUAAUACUGGCAAGAAUGCUGUGUCAGCUUCCCAUAAGGCUUAAAGUUAUUAUUUCUCUCUCCUAGUCUGCACCUCAUUUCAUCAUCCCUAAGAAAAGCUUCCAGUCAGGGUGAGGUACAAGAUGAACACUUGUUCCCUCCUGGAUUGCAGUCAUAGUGAUUAUCACCAUGGCUGAAUUCUCCUGUGGAACAGUGCUCAUGCAUGCAUCUCUUUCACAGAAAUGGAAAAGUAAACUCAAGGGAAUUGAGUUUACCACCAACUAGUGUAUGACCUCUUUCUUAACCUUUUUCACACUCCUACUUCCUUACCUGUAAAGGGAAAUACUAUUUUUUAUCUUAUAGGCCUAAACUUUUAUAUAUUAGGAAUUGAGGAAUGCAAGUUAGUGCCUUCAGCUCAGAACAUUUCUUCCAUUACCCAAAUAAAAACAUAAUAAAAGAAUAAUUUUUGUUUAAAAAUAUUUUCCUUUGCAAAAUCUUCUAAUAAACACAUAUUACCAUAUUUAUUUGCCCUCAGAUAAUUAUGAGACUUUAAUUUAUAACUCUCUGUGAACACAGAGUUUCCUGGGGGUGAUAGCAUUAGAGAGGCAGAUAGAAGAACCAAAAAAGGCUCAAGUAGUACUGAAGAGGGAAAAUACACACACACACACACAUUUUAUCUAUGUCAAAAAACAUUGGUGCAAUGUCUAUAGCACAACUUUCUGGGUUAUCUGAUCCUAAUUAUAUGGUAGCUAUUUUAUAACUCUGAAAGUUAUAGAUGGCUGAUAGCAAUGCAAAAUAAUGUGUGUAUGUAUAUAUGUAAAUGAAUACUGGCUGGUGGAGAGAAGAAACCCUCACCCCAGGAACUACCAUCUUUGUCUCCAUUUGUACACUCAUUUUAGUACUCCUGUCUAUAAGUGUGUCUGUCCUUGGAGUCUCCUUUGAACUGGUUAUAACACCUCACCAGUUGCCUCAUUAGUGAGUUAUUUAAAUAUCUUUAACAUAUGAUUAUUUUUAUAUCUGUAAGAAAGUCAUGACUUUUACCUUGUUUGAAAAUUUUCUUUUUAACACUCAAGUCUCAGUUCUGGUUUUAUCUAUCUUUGGACAUGUUCGAUGCACACAUCUUUAAUGAGCUGAGCCUCUACAUGAGCUUGCACAUGCCAAGCACUGUGGUAGACAAUAGAAACAGCAAACACACUAUCCUACACAGAGAAAGAAAAAUGGCUGACUCAGAAAAAUAAUUCCUGUUUCCUGUAAGCCUCUCAGCCUCUUUUGUUCUUUCUUCUUUGCUUGCUUUCUUUCUGUCUUAUGAAGUAAAACAAAUGAGAUGAUUAUUUCAUUACGAUGAAUGAUACGAGCAUAGGUAAAUUGCCUCCAUUUAUAAUAAAAUUGAUAAAGUAUUUAAGCUAAAAAGAUUAUUUUUCAAUGCUACAAAGAUUAAAUAUCAGUCCUUAUCAAAAAGGGAGAAAAGUGACACACCACUUUGUUCUGAUCGAGAUUUUUACUCUAAAAAUCUCAAAAAGAAUUCCAAGGGGACAGAGUGGAGUGAUUUGGUGACUUAUUCUAUGUAGGCAGGAAGAGAGUAAGAAUCUGAAAGUAACUGUGGUACAAGACUGCCAAUAAUUGGUUCACUCACCAUUGCCUGGGCUGACAGGUGAAUUAAACUGAAAGAUAUGCCUGCCAGGUAUUUGGAAGACUUUCUUCUUCUCACCCCAUUAUAUGCUUUGAACUUUAUGUUGUGUCAUUGUGAUAAAAUAAAGACUCGCAGAGUAAAAAGCUAGCCUUUAGCUCGACAAUUUAAACCAUUUCUUACUUUACUGUAACACUCUAUGUAUUUUCUAACUAUAAAGAGGGAUAAAAACCAUCACAGGGUGGACACAUUCAAUAAUUUCUAUUAAAAGUGGACAUGACCCAUUACUUUCACUGUGGCCUUUAUUUUUCUGCAUCUAGAGAUUUAAUUUUACGGGAAUUGUAGAAUAACUAUGGUGCCAUUAUACAUAUAAAACUCAAGUAUGAAAGCUAUGGCUACAAAAGCAAAGUGUAAAAUUUGAUACUAUUAUCUGAAUGUUUUCACUCCAUUUAUUCACACUUUCUCACUGGUAUAAUUAAUCAAAUUCAAAAAAUAUUUAUCAAACAUUUGACUCUGAG